rnacentral:rRNA from 1 species
GACGAACGCUGGCGGCGUGCCUAAUACAUGCAAGUCGAGCGGACGGAUGGGAGCUUGCUCCCAGCCCGUCAGCGGCGGACGGGUGAGUAACACGUGGGCAACCUGCCUGUAAGACUGGGAUAACUCCGGGAAACCGGGGCUAAUACCGGAUAACUCUUUCCCUCCCAUGAGGGAAAGCUGAAAGAUGGCAUCUCGCUAUCACUUACAGCUGGGCCCGCGGCGCAUUAGCUAGUUGGUGAGGUAACGGCUCACCAAGGCGACGAUGCGUAGCCGACCUGAGAGGGGGAUCGGCCACACUGGGACUGAGACACGGCCCAGACUCCUACGGGAGGCAGCAGUAGGGAAUCUUCCGCAAUGGACGAAAGUCUGACGGAGCAACGCCGCGUGAGUGAUGAAGGUUUUCGGAUCGUAAAACUCUGUUGUCAGGGAAGAACAAGUACCGGAGUAACUGCCGGUACCUUGACGGUACCUGACCAGAAAGCCACGGCUAACUACGUG